UGGCGAACGGGUGAGUAACACGUUGGUAAUCUGCCCUGCACUCUGGGAUAAGCCUGGGAAACUGGGUCUAAUACUGGAUAUGACCUUUCUCCUUAUGGGGUUUGGUGGAAAGUUUUUCGGUGUAGGAUGAGCCCGCGGCCUAUCAGCUUGUUGGUGGGGUGAUGGCCUACCAAGGCGACGACGGGUAGCCGGCCUGAGAGGGUGAUCGGCCACAUUGGGACUGAGAUACGGCCCAG
rnacentral:rRNA from 1 species